rnacentral:tRNA from 1 species
GGAGAGAUGGCAGAGUGGUUUAAUGCACCGGUCUUGAAAACCGACGAGGCUUCGCGGUCUCCCAGGGUUCGAAUCCCUGUCUCUCCGCCA